rnacentral:rRNA from 1 species
GCUAGCGGCAGGCCUAAUACAUGCAAGUCGAGGGGUAACAUGAGUACUUGUACUUGAUGACGACCGGCGCACGGGUGCGUAACGCGUAUGCAACCUACCCUAAACAGGGGGAUAGCCCAGAGAAAUUUGGAUUAAUACCCCAUAGUACUAUAGAUAGGCAUCUUGAAAUAGUUAAAGAUUUAUUGGUUUAGGAUGGGCAUGCGUAAGAUUAGCAAGUUGGUGAGGUAACGGCUCACCAAAGCGACGAUCUUUAGGGGGUCUGAGAGGAUGAUCCCCCACACUGGCACUGAGAUACGGGCCAGACUCCUACGGGAGGCAGCAGUAGGGAAUAUUGGUCAAUGGGCGAGAGCCUGAACCAGCCAUGCCGCGUGCAGGAAGACGGCCUUCUGGGUUGUAAACUGCUUUUAUAUAGGAAUAAAAAGGCCUUGCGAGGCAAAUUGCAGGUACUAUAUGAAUAAGCACCGGCUAACUCCGUGCCAGCAGCCGCGGUAAUACGGAGGGUGCAAGCGUUGUCCGGAUUUAUUGGGUUUAAAGGGUACGUAGGCGGCCGAUUAAGUCAGUGGUGAAAGCCGGCAGCUCAACUGUC